UCGUCAAACUUCUCCCCGUAGAUGGACUUGCCUCCGGUGCCAUUAUGGCGUGUGAAGUCACCACCUUGGCACAUAAAUCCCGUGAUGAUCCUGAUGGAAAAGCAUAAGUCUAAACUCCAGUCU